AACGAACGCUGGCGGCAUGCCUAACACAUGCAAGUCGAACGAGACCUUCGGGUCUAGUGGCGCACGGGUGCGUAACGCGUGGGAACCUGCCCUUAGGUUCGGAAUAACUCCCCGAAAGGGGUGCUAAUACCGGAUAAUGUCUUCGGGCCAAAGAUUUAUCGCCUUUGGAUGGGCCCGCGUUGGAUUAGCUAGUUGGUAGGGUAAAAGCCUACCAAGGCGACGAUCCAUAGCUGGUCUGAGAGGAUGAUCAGCCACACUGGGACUGAGACACGGCCCAGACUCCUACGGGAGGCAGCAGUGGGGAAUAUUGGACAAUGGGCGAAAGCCUGAUCCAGCAAUGCCGCGUGAGUGAUGAAGGCCUUAGGGUUGUAAAGCUCUUUUACCCGGGAUGAUAAUGACAGUACCGGGAGAGUAAGCUCCGGCUAACUCCGUG
rnacentral:rRNA from 1 species